rnacentral:lncRNA from 1 species
AUUUAAUCGCAGGGUCCUGGGAGUAGGACGUGGACAUCUUUGGGGGGGCAUGAUUCUGCCUCCCCCCAGGGAUGAAGCCAGGCUGACUGACUCCAGAGCAGGUGCUUUGGAGCACUCCGUGCCUGGUCCAGUGCAUUCUGGGUGAAGAGGGAGACACAUGAUUGAGAAAAGCCCUUGGGCUGGAGGACUCAGGGCUGAAGGGGAUGAAGUCCAGCUGACUACAGCUAUAGCAGGAAGAGGGGGCUCCGGAUGAGAGGGGUGAGCAAUGGGCAGGUGAGGAGGGAGACACCUCGGGGGAGGUGACCUUUGGGCCACACCUUAAAUGAUGACUGGAAUUCCACAGGUAGCCAUGGAAGAUUUUCCAGGUGCAUGAAGCAUGAAUGUGUGUGGUCAGAAGUGACUGGAGUAUGGGAGAGGAGGGUGAUCGAGCUCUUACCUGGCCACGAGGAUUGGAUGAGCUGGCACCCUGUGGACAGCACCUGAUGAGACCUCACCCUGCCCAAUUCUUUCUUUUUCUUUUCCUUUUUUUAUCUUUUUCUUUUGUGGUGCUGGGGAUUGAAGCCAGGGCUUCGUACAUGCGAGAUAAGCACUCUACCACCCAGCCUCAUGUCCAACUCUGCGUAUUUUAUUUUGAGACAGGGUCUUGCUAAGUUGCCCAAGCUGCUCUUGGACUUGUGAACCUACUUCCUCAGGCUUCAGAGUAGCUGGGAUCACAGGUGCGCAACACCACACCUGGCUCCAACCCCUUCAGUUUACAGCUGGGGAAACUGAGCCCUAGAGGACAGAGUCAGUGGCCUUCUGAAGAUUACAGUGAGAAGAUGCCAGCUGGAGCAUGGCGGGGGCUGGAGCUGAGCAGGGCUCACGGAGGAGGCCAAAGCAGGGCUCCUGCCUUCCCUGCUCCCUGCUGCCACUGCCCCGCCGUUUCAGGUUUCUUUUCUCACCUGCCCUGUUCUCCUGCAAUCUCCCUAGUGGCCGCUGGAUGGUGCCUGGAGCUCUGACUUGGAGCUGGGUCCCAGAGCUCUAACAGGUCCUGAAGAACCUGUCCUUCUCCCUAUGACCAUCUUCUACCUGGACACCAAAGGUUGAGAAUAACAAGGAUAUCAGUGGGCCAGGGCAGAAGUUGCAGGGCAUUCUGGGAUGGAGGGUAGGCCUGGGGAAGACUGCUUGGUUCCCUCAUGCUAAGACUCUUCCCCCAAAUCCCUGCCUAUCCUCCCAGUUGCUGGUCUUUGUCAUCUCACUGCAGAAUGGGAAACAACCUCACGUAGACCUUGGAUACCUUGCAGGACCAGUCAUCUGUGUGUCCCUCUCCUAGGGUACUUGCACUUCAGAAGUAGCCAGGAAAGAAGCAAGCAAGGUAGAUCAAAGGGAGCACUGGUCAUGGUGGGUUUUAGGCAGCUGAGGCCACGUACAGGGAGAGGUAUGGGCUCCUUACAUGACCUCAAGGCAACACUGUGAGGUUAGUGCCAUCACUUUCAUUCAGCCAGCUCCCGGAUGUCCAGGCCUCCUCCCACUUGAUCAGAGUUGUCAGAACUGGGAAGAGUGUUUGAGGAAAAAAUGGAGGUCUUCACUUGACACCAGCUGCCUACAGGCUGAGCUUCUGGGAGAAGAGAGAGGAGUUGGGGAAGGACUGGCAUGAGUGCGCUCUCCACUCAGCCGCAUUCCAGGAGGGCAGGGCGGAGACAGUGGGUGUGUGAGCUGAGGAACAGUAAAGAGGAUAGUGAUGCUUACAGUCACGUGACUAGUGUUUGGGGCAGUGCACAAGGUGAUUUCCCAUCAUUUAUAGCGGAGCCACACAACCACCCUGGGAGGAAGACAAGGCCACGUGGCUACGGCUCUUUCACAGAAGGGAAAAUUCAGGGCCACAGAGGGAUUGUGAUUCACUCAAGUUUACAUGUCGAUAUACUCCCGGUGCUGGGUGGGACCCACCUCCUGGCUCCCAGCUCGGGGACUUGCUGCCUCAUAUGGGCCACAGAUGUGGCUGGGCACAGAAUGGGGCCUUUAGCGGGACUGAAGCUCAGCCACGCUCCUUCCCCAGCCUCAAGCUGGCUGCCACGCAGAGGGUUUGGACUGGAGGUUUGGGAUGUCAGAGGACAGGGAGGCUUGUUGGAGUGGGAGGAUCAGCUGUGUGUCCUCCAGGCUUCCUUGGCCCAUCAUGCUGCAUGACCUGUGGCUGCUGCCACCCCAGGAGCCCAUUCCAUGGCUCCUUCCCUCUAUGUGUGUGUGUGUGUGUGUGUGUGUGUGUGUGCGCGCGCGCGCGCGCACACCCAUCUCUCCAAAGGCCCUCUCCCUUGCUGGUUCCUGUACACACCCUUCUUCCUAAUCAGCCUCAAGCUGUGCGGCCCCUCUGCUCAGACCUCUGAAACAGACCUCCCUGGUGAGCACCCACCUGUGCCUGCUCCGCACAGGAGCUCUUGGCUCCGUUUCCAUCUGAGCCACACUUGGACCCUUCCAGGUGCAGCUCAUAUUCCCCGGUACCUUCCCCUCUCUGUUUUUGAAAUGAGUUGUGGCUCAGGGUUGAAGCUGCUUUCUGGAUGCCACAAGGAAGGAGUGCUGUGACUUUCAGAGAGGGAAGCAGAACUAUGUCACCUUAAUUUGCCGUCUUUAACCAGACGUUCUCAUA